AUGUCUAAAUCCCUCCUGUCCUUUCCACCCUCCUCCCCCUCCUUCCACCUUCCAGGCCCACAGAGAGUCCUGUCCACCUUGAAUGCACACCCCAUUUGUCAUCUGCACCACAUAUGUGAUCAUGGCCUCCAGAUGACUGCGCCAGAGGCAGAAGAGCCAGGGCACUGGAGAGGAGGAGGUGGCAGCAGCAGGGGGAGGGGACAACAGGCCAUCAUUGAGGACGUCACUCACUCACGGUCCAAAGACCCUGAGGAAAAGCAGGACACUACUCAAAGGGGGUUUAUGAAGAGCAGCCCCUUCAUGACUUGCUGUUACAACUUCUCUUCAAACAUCCUUUCCAAAAGACUCCUUUUCACUGCGGUCAGCCAGAGAACCUGCCUCCAAGCCCACCUCUUACUCUCAGUGUGCAUUUACAAGGUGGCAAAGAGGUUCCUGCAUUUUGUGAAAAAUAUUAGUGACCUGCUCUGACCUGGCUCUGGCUGCUGACCACCACCUUCCUGCUGGCCUCGCCUGCCAUCUCGUGGACGAAGGCAGUACUGCUGCCAGAGAGAUGAUCUUGGGCCCAGGUUUCUAAAGCAAACUUGAAAAUCAACCAGGGGAGGGCCAUGAAGAAAAUUACUCUUGAGUGGCAAGAAAUCAAUAAUGAUAGAUUUCACUUUCUCCAGCCAAGAUGCACUUCUUUGCCAUUUCCAGCAUGACUUUUCUCACUUAUCAUCCAACAAGCAUGCAGGUGAGCACCUGCUGUGUCCCAGGUGCCAUGCUAGGCACUGGGGUAGACAUGAAUCAAACAGUCCCUGUCCCAGAAAAGCCUGCAGUCUGGAAGUACAGAAACACGUGAGCCAAUAGAAACAUUUGAAUAUGAGUGGUGCAUUAAAGAAAUGUAUCACAGGCUGCAAGGCCCCCAAAGAGGAAGUCUGCUUGGGACAAAAAAGGGAAAUGGUCCAAGGGGAACAGAAGGUGACAUCUGACCAAUGGCGAACAGCAAAAAUCAAAAAUUGAGGGGAGAGAAGAUUCAAUUAAGUGUUGUCAAAUCGAAACUUCUACCACUUCCUUCAUCCCUGAGUCGGCAAUGUUGUUAGUAGGAGACUGGUCACGUGUAACCUUGCAGGGUGCCUUAAAGGGGGAGAGGUAAAGGGUUAUGGAAUCUUUUUCAAGGCAGUUUGUGGGGGCCUAUAUGUCAGUCCACAUGUGUGUGAUGGUACCAAGUCCGAGAAGAAGGAAAACAAAACAGACUGGAGUAAACCAAACCUGGGUUUGGAUCUCAACUUUACGACUUAAGAGUUGUGUGACAUGCAUGAGCAAAUCGCUUAACGCUUCUGAGCCACAGUUUCUUCACACAUAAAUAGAGGUGAUCAUCACAAUCCCCCAUGAAAGGAAUGAAACAAAGGUUCAUGUGGACCCCUAGCCCAAGGCCUAACGCAUACGUGCCCUCAUAAAUGACUGGUGGUGGUGGCAUCAGGGCACGAUGUCAAGGGCCCAGCACAGUUCUCCCCUAGACCUCUCAGGGUCCACCUGUUCCCAGAGGCUUCCCCAUACCUCUCAGGCAUCUUUCACAUAAGCUUGCCAGAUACUGCCUGGGGUAUACUUAUAUGAAAACGUUAUUUAUCUGAAAUGUAGCUGGUCCUCCUCUCUUUUUAGCUGCUAACUCUGGCAAUCCUACUUCCAAUCUCAUGUUGCAGGUAUAUGACCCAAGGCAGUCAAGGGAGAUUAUAGGAGUGGAUUGGGGCUGUCGUGGAAGCCCCUUUGAAGUUGCAGGUAGUGCACACCAAGGUCAGAGGCUUUCUGGCAGCUUCUGCAGGUCAAAGCUUCAUUGGAUCCACUCUCUUAUAUCGCCAAAGCAGGUUCCCCUUGAGUUCUGUGGGAAACUAGUUCUGAGGGAUGGAAACACAGAGCACACCAGGGGUAAUGAGUCUAGUCAAAUAAACUUGGGAAAAUCUGCAUUAAACAAAAAUAACAGCGGUUCCCUUCAAUGCCAGACGUCUCAAGAUGCUUCAACACAACCAUAUGAAUCAUGAAUUUCUAGCAGGCGGGUAUGGUGUACAGAACUUCCCAAACUUCCCAGUCAUGGAAACUUGAUCUUCACGGCCCAUCCCUUGGGAUUGGCUUCUUGAGAAAUACUCUCUGGGAAACACUGCCCAAAUGGUUGACCUCUGAAAGCAAAGCCAUGUUCAAAACUCCUCUAAACCUCAGACGAAACCCAGGUGCUGAUUCAGUCCCUGUAAAAUGAGCCAUUUUUGAACCUGCCAGCAACUGAGGCAGCCUCUUAACCAGCAGACAGCCAACA
ensembl:lncRNA